rnacentral:lncRNA from 13 species
GGGGGAUAAAGGGAUGUGAAAGGGUCAGUAGGGAGCUUACGCAUCUCUCUGCAUCUCUCAACAUCUCUCAGAUAGACAGACAGGAGUGGCAGAGGCUUGGCAGAGGCUGUGGCAGAGGCUGUGGCAUUCCCAGCGUAUUAUCCAGAAGCUGCCUUUUCUCUGAAAUCUGCAGUUGUCCUUGUUCUACAUGAAUGAAGCAAACAACAUUCUCCACCAUUUCCUCUCAGUCUAUUCCUCUAUGCUUCUACAGUAACUGACGUAAGAAACAGAAAUGGCCUCAAUCGAUGUCUUACUAAAAUGGAGGAAUUUCAACCUGAAUUGAUGGUCUAUUAAAAACAAACUCCAAAACAGUCAGAGCCUACCAAUAGCAAUAGACAGUACCUAACAGAAAAAUCUGCAGCAGAAACCCGCCAGAAGCAUCUACAAGUGGUUAGUACUAACACAUUAGACAUCACCACUGAACCCUUUCCCCAUGCUGGCUUAGAAAGCCAUUUAUAUGGCUUAGAAAGCGGAAAUAGGAGGCAGUUAUCAACUGUGUCACGGGCAAGAUUACUGCAGUACAGCUCUCCAUGCUCCACCCCUGCCCACACAGUUCAGUCCAUAGGGAUGGAUCAGCCUUCAUACAGUACAGAGGAGAUGAUCUAGACCCACAGUCACCCUGAGAACCAGAGGGACAGCUAUACAGAUAGAGUUAUACAGUUGACAGUCUGGCUGGACAGCUGUAAGGUACAGUAGCCUAGCUAUGUGGAUAUUUGCAUUCUGUCAGCUGGUCGGUGGUUUAAAUCAGAACAGCUGAAAAGACACUUGUGUCUUCAUGUUUCAUUACUCCUGAGCUAAGUCAGAUAACAGUAAUGUUGCUGCUGCUGUGUUCAUCCACCCACUCUCUCUCUCCCUCUCGCUCUUUCUCACUGCCUCUUUCUUUCUCUCUCACUGGAACGCACAAACAUAGACAGACAGGAGUGGCAGAGGCUUGGCAGAGGCUGUGGCAGAGGCUGUGGCAUUCCCAGCGUAUUAUCCAGAAGCUGCCUUUUCUCUGAAAUCUGCAGUUGUCCUUGUUCUACAUGAAUGAAGCAAACAACAUUCUCCACCAUUUCCUCUCAGUCUAUUCCUCUAUGCUUCUACAGUAACUGACGUAAGAAACAGAAAUGGCCUCAAUCGAUGUCUUACUAAAAUGGAGGAAUUUCAACCUGAAUUGAUGGUCUAUUAAAAACAANNNNNNNNNNUUGUUGAUCCCUGCCUACAGACAGAAACUAAAACAAGAGGCUCCCACGCUGAGGUCUGUCCAACGCUGGUCCGACCAAGCUGACUCCACACUCCAAGACUGCU